rnacentral:rRNA from 1 species
AUACGGAGGGUGCGAGCGUUAUCCGGAUUUAUAAGGUUUAAAGGGUGUGUAGGCGGGAGCCUAAGUCAGUGGUGAAAUCUCACAGCUUAACUGUGAAACUGCCAUUGAAACUGGGUUUCUUGAGUAUAGUUGAGGUAGGCGGAAUGUGUAAUGUAGCGGUGAAAUGCAUAGAUAUUACACAGAACACCGAUUGCGAAGGCAGCUUACUAAGCUAUUACUGACGCUGAUGCACGAAAGCGUGGGUAGCGAACAGGAUUAGAAACCCCGGUAGUCC